AUUAUAAGUUAUAAAAAGUUGUCUACACCUAUUUUUUUCCCAAAUUUUACCGUAAAAUCCAUACAAUCCGUUGAUCGGCAGACAAAUCUCGUUUUGCUCAUGCUGUAAUUUCCAGCCGAAAGAUGAAACUUUUACUUGGAGAAACUUGAAGCGUUUUUUUUUCAAAACUAGAAGUUCGCACUUGUUACUUUUUAAUGGAGAAGAAGAAAUAAAGAUGAAAAACAAAAUAUAAAUGCAUGGCAUCGGGAUAUACCAUUAAGAGAACAGAGAAGAAAUUAUAUAUAUAUUAAAGAGAAAGGUCGGUGGCUACAUGCCACCUACCCUUUCUCUUUAGUCUUCCUUUUCCUCUUACCUUUCUAUCGUCAUUUUCUUCAAGAACUUUCUAGGACUAUACGUAAUUAACUUGCUCCAAAUCCCCAGAGCCCUCAAAAUUAAACACAAACCAAAUCAAAAUAUCAUAAAACCCAAACCAUAGAAUCGAUCGAUCAUGGCGCGAGGAAAUCAACCGGAGACGGAGUACUUGCUCGGAUUUCAUCAACAAUAUCCGAUUCACCAGAGUCAAACGAGUCGCAUCUGACGCCGGAUUUGUGGCCAAGGAGCUGUUGAAGAGCACCGUUAGUUUGAAGCCAACGUUAUUGGUGGUGGUGGUGUUGAGUUCAUCCAUGGGAUGUGGUUAUGCUAAACGAUCAGAAACAGAAUUGGUGUAUCACUUUCAUUGUCAUCCAAUACAUACGUAAGUAAUUUGGUUAGGUUUGAAAUGAGAAUAACCUGAAAAGGUAGGUGUAUAGUUGGAAAGUUAUUCUUUUCGAUUUUUGAGUAAUUGCAUGUCAAUCCCUGAAGUAUGAGCCUUUUUUGUGUUGUUCAUACUUCAUACUAUUCUAAAAAUGUGAAUGAUGUAUUUGAAUAUCUAGAACAGCCUAGAGCAUGGAGAACAAAAAUCUAAUCUAUUUGAACGAUACUAAUGGCAAAACAAUAGCUUUUACAAUAUAGGUAAAAGUGGUUAGGCUUUGGAGAAAACCAAAUCCUAAAAAAAGUUGGUGAGAUAUGGGCUAUUGGGAUGGUGCUCAUGGAUGAAACGGUACAUCGGGUAAGACAACAAAUGUAGUGUACAAGGAGAUUUUUAGUGAAACGCAUGAUCCAGUUUUACGGAUUAAGGUGCCCUUUCAUGGUGGUGUGAAAUGGGAAAUGGAUAAGAGUUAUUUUUUUUUCUCUAAAAUAUGUUGUGGAAAACUUACGUGGUAAAAUGGGUGAUUUCAAAAAGUAUUUAUUUGUGAUCAUUUGACCAUGAGUAAAUAACUCUGCUACUAAAAAGGGCAAUCACAAACUCACUAUCCGAGAGGGGUUGAUGAUUUACAUACAUGUGGAUCACUAUAGUCAAAAGAUUCGGCUUAUUUGCUAUCAGUUUAUGGACCACCUUGCAAACAUCAAAGAAUGAGUGAUUCAUACUUUGUUUUGUUAGUCGACAUGUGUAGAAUGAUUAUUGUUUCUUUUUAUUUUAGGGGCUAUGAUGAUAACUCACUCUUUGUGCAUUGUUCAGUGUUGGCAUGUAUUUGUCUGUGCUUUUACAUCACAAUCGGAUUAUGCAGCGAUGGUGGUUUAUCCUCUUCAUUUUGAAGAUGAGAUAUUCCGUGUCUUGGCGGGGAAGCUGACAUGCUGUGGUGUUUAAGUGCUUGCAUCACAGUCGGACUAUGCAGCCAUGGCAGUUUAUCCUCUUCAUUUUGAAGAUGAGGUAUUCCGUAUCUUGGCGGGGCAUAAGCUUCACAUAUCUGAGCCUCAUUCUUCCUUUGUUUUGUAUGCUAACGGUCCUUUGUUGACAUUGUCCUUUUAUUUUUUCCCUACUUGAAUAGUUUUGGCUUUAUGCUUAGCUUGAAUGCCUCUUCGUGUGAUUUACUUUGCUUUGACAAAGUGAUUGGGCAAUAUACUCAUGCUAUGAUGCUAGGAGAUGGUUGCCAUGAUCACAUGGCAACCAGUAGGUUUGUAACCUGUUUUGGGUUUGUUUUCCUCUAGGUGAAAUGCUCUAAAAGAACCACAAAACUCUACCAAAUCUUGCAAAGCUAGGAUGGGAUCGCAGGUGUCACUUCAAGGUAUUUUUUGGUUUAUUUCUUUCAAAGGUAAAUUCACACGUCACGCGUGUGACUUGAUGUCGCCGCCGCAACGCGCGGCGCUGGUAAAAAAGUAGUAAAGAUGAAAAACAAAAUAUAAAUGCAUAGCAUCGGGAUUCCAAUUUUUAAAAUAUUUACCUUUCCAAGAAAUUACAGUUGGAUUUUAAUUAAAAUUCAUUAUUAUUACUCUAAUUAAUAAACCAAAUUCUAUAAAUUAAAUACUGGUGGUAUUAGGGGAGUGGGGGUGGUCCGUGAUGGACCAUCCAUCAGACCAUCACUCGUGAAACUAUCACUAACACCGCCGCCACCUAUUCCCAUCAUUUGUGAAACUUUAACGCCUUGAUAAUAUCACGCGUUGAAGUUUGUUGAAUGUAUGUGUAUGACUUGUACAUUGUGUAUUAAUACUUGUACAUUGGAAUCCCAUCACUAGUGAUGACCACCGCCACUAAAGAAUGCUUGUGAGUGAUAGAAUAGUGGUUGCUGACAUGACGAAACAUGAUUGGAUGUUUGUGAGUGAUGGAAUUUCAUUACUAGUGACCACCCCCACUCCUCUUAUGCUUAGCCAGUAACAUUUUUCUCAAAUACGUAUAUUUUUUUAACUAAUUUAUAUUAUGUUCUUAUAUUAUCUUGACUAUGUUAUAAACUCGUCUUUUACACGGUUGAAUAAAAGAAUCAAAUAGUUAGUAAUGAAUAUUUAAGUUAUAAAACG